CCUACGGGUGGCUGCAGUGGGGAAUAUUGGACAAUGGGGGGAACCCUGAUCCAGCCAUGCCGCUUGUGUGAAUAAGGCCCUCGGGUUGUAAAGCACUUUCAGUGAGGAAGAACGCCUUGUGGUUAAUACCCAUCAGGAAAGACAUCACUCACAGAAGAAGCACCGGCUAACUCCGUGCCAGCAGCCGCGGUAAUACGGAGGGUGCGAGCGUUAAUCGGAAUUACUGGGCGUAAAGCGCGCGUAGGUGGCUUGAUAAGCCGGUUGUGAAAGCCCCGGGCUCAACCUGGGAACGGCAUCCGGAACUGUCAAGCUAGAGUGCAGGAGAGGAAGGUAGAAUUCCCGGUGUAGCGGUGAAAUGCGUAGAGAUCGGGAGGAAUACCAGUGGCGAAGGCGGCCUUCUGGACUGACACUGACACUGAGGUGCGAAAGCGUGGGUAGCAAACAGGAUUAGAUACCCGGGUAGUC
rnacentral:rRNA from 1 species